AUUGAACGCUGGCGGCAGGCCUAACACAUGCAAGUCGAGCGGCUGAAGGGAGCUUGCUCCUGGAUUCAGCGGCGGACGGGUGAGUAAUGCCUAGGAAUCUGCCUGGUAGUGGGGGAUAACGUCCGGAAACGGGCGCUAAUACCGCAUACGUCCUGAGGGAGAAAGUGGGGGAUCUUCGGACCUCACGCUAUCAGAUGAGCCUAGGUCGGAUUAGCUAGUUGGUGGGGUAAAGGCCUACCAAGGCGACGAUCCGUAACUGGUCUGAGAGGAUGAUCAGUCACACUGGAACUGAGACACGGUCCAGACUCCUACGGGAGGCAGCAGUAGGGAAUAUUGGACAAUGGGCGAAAGCCUGAUCCAGCAAUGCCGCGUGAGUGAAGAAGGUCUUCGGAUUGUAAAGCUCUUUAAGUUGGGAGGAAGAGCAGUAAGUUAAUACCUUGCUAUUUUGACGUUACCAACAGAAUAAGCACCGGCUAACUACGUG
rnacentral:rRNA from 1 species